rnacentral:rRNA from 1 species
AGGAUGGACCCGCGUCUGAUUAGCUAGUUGGUGAGGUAAUGGCUCACCAAGGCGACGAUCAGUAGCCGACCUGAGAGGGUGAUCGGCCACAUUGGAACUGAGACACGGUCCAAACUCCUACGGGAGGCAGCAGUGGGGAAUAUUGCACAAUGGGCGAAAGCCUGAUGCAGCAACGCCGCGUGAGCGAUGAAGGCCUUCGGGUCGUAAAGCUCUGUCCUCAAGGAAGAUAAUGACGGUACUUGAGGAGGAAGCCCCGGCUAACUACGUGCCAGCAGCCGCGGUAAUACGUAGGGGGCUAGCGUUAUCCGGAUUUACUGGGCGUAAAGGGUGCGUAGGCGGUCUUUUAAGUCAGGAGUGAAAGGCUACGGCUCAACCGUAGUAAGCUCUUGAAACUGGAGGACUUGAGUGCAGGAGAGGAGAGUGGAAUUCCUAGUGUAGCGGUGAAAUGCGUAGAUAUUAGGAGGAACACCAGUAGCGAAGGCAGCUCUCUGGACUGUAACUGACGCUGAGGCACGAAAGCGUGGGGAGCAAACAGGAUUAGAUACCCUGGUAGUCCACGCCGUAAACGAUAAGUACUAGCUGUCGGAGGUUACCCCCUUCGGUGGCGCAGCUAACGCAUUAA